rnacentral:rRNA from 1 species
GACGUAGGGCGCGAGCGUUGUCCCGGAUUUAUUGGGCGUAAAGAGCUCGUAGGCGGCUUGUCGCGUCGACUGUGAAAUCCCGCGGCUCAACUGCGGGUCUGCAGUCGAUACGGGCAGGCUAGAGUUCGGUAGGGGAGACUGGAAUUCCUGGUGUAGCGGUGAAAUGCGCAGAUAUCAGGAGGAACACCGGUGGCGAAGGCGGGUCUCUGGGCCGAUACUGACGCUGAGGAGCGAAAGCGUGGGGAGCGAACAGG